UACGGAGGGUGCAAGCGUUCUCCGGAUUUCCUGGGUUUAAAGGGUGUGUAGGCUGACUUUUAAGUCAGCGGUGAAAUCUCCGGGCUCAACCCGGAAACUGCCAUUGAUACUAUUGGUCUUGAAUGUUGUUGAGGUGGGCGGAACGGGUCAUGUAGCGGUGAAAUGCAUAGAUAUGACCCGGAACACCGAUUGCGUAGGCAGCCCACUAAGCAACGAUUGACGCUGAGGCACGAAAGCGUGGGGAUCAAACAGG
rnacentral:rRNA from 1 species